GGUGUGUUAGUUCAGUUGGUUAGAAUGCCAGCCUGUCACGCUGGAGGUCACGGGUUCGAGCCCCGUACACACCG
rnacentral:tRNA from 1 species